CUACAUUCUACAAUAUCAAUAUUAAUCUGAAUCCCCUUCAAUAUAUUACUGUAUUAUCUUCUACAGCUUAAUCCUUGCAGAGUCUUAAGGACUUCUUAUGAUAUAAGCAGCUAAUCCUCAUACCACUGCUUACAGUUUGAUCCACUCAAUCCCUUACCUCUUCAAGAAUUGAGUAUUCUAAUCAUCAUGUCCAAGGCCAAUCCAUCCUUGAAUACUCCUCAAUCAGCAGUCAUUGAGCUAGCAGCACCUGCAAUAUCUGCCUCAACUAACUGACAGAAAAUUCAGCUCACUGAUCCACCUGCCUAUUAUGACAGCAAUCUACAUGAAUACCAUAUAUUCAUAAGAGCUCUCGAACACAUAUAUAAGUUGAACCCAACUCAAUAUGAUACCAAUGAAGUCAAGAUUGUUUAUGCUUUGGGAUGGUUACAGAAAACAAUCAAAACUACUUGAGCUACUAAAGAGAGAGAGCUUGAAAGAUUAAAUCAAUCUUUCUCAUGGAAGGACUUUAAGGAAUUCCUGCACAAUGACCUGAAGGAUGUCCGCAACCGCAGCUUUACAGCAGUGAUUUGCUUUGAAGAAUUAAAGCAACCACUGGACCAACCAGUUCAACAAUUUGCCUCCAGAUUUAAUGAGAUUUGCAAUGAUCUAGCAAUCAAUAUAGAAGAACUAUUUGCUCAAUUAUUCUUUGCUAAAUUACCAUCAGCAAUACAAGAUCAAAUUCAAACUCACCAUGAUUCUUCUAUCAAUUAAGCUGAAUUGAUUGCACUAGUUGCUCAAAUUCAAGCUGUUAAUAGAAGCCAUGCUAGAAGGAGUAACAACAAACAAGAAUCCUCUUCACAAAAUAGAUACCAGAAAAGUGAUGACAAACACAG
rnacentral:sRNA from 1 species